rnacentral:rRNA from 1 species
UGACCCGUCUUGAAACACGGACCAAGGAGUCUAGCGUGUGCGCGAGUCAUUGGGAUUCGACGAAACCUAAAGGCGAAAUGAAAGUAAAGGUCAGCCUCGCGCGGACCGAGGGAGGACGAAUGACCAUACACAAGGUCGUUCAGCACUCCCGGGGCGUCUCGUUCUCAUUGCGAGAUGAGGCGCACCAAGAGCGUACACGCUGGGACCCGAAAGAUGGUGAACUAUGCCCGGUCAGGACGAAGUCAGGGGAAACCCUGAUGGAGGUCCGUAGCGAUUCUGACGUGCAAAUCGAUCGUCGGAACUGGGUAU